AUUGAACGCUGGCGGCAGGCCUAACACAUGCAAGUCGAACGAGUGGCGGACGGGUGUGUAAUGUCUGGGAAACUGCCCGUUGGAGGGGGAUAACUACUGGAAACGGUAGCUAAUACCGCAUACCUUCGGUUUUGCCCAGAUGGGAUUAGCUUGUGGGUGGGGAAACGGCUCACCUAGUCCACGAUCCCUAGCUGGUCUGAGAGGAGGACGAGCAAAACUGGACCUGGAACACGGUCCAGACUCCUACGGGAGGCAGCAGUGGGGAAUAUUGCACAAUGGGGGCAAGCCGGAUGCAGCCAUGCCGCGUGGAUGAGAAAGGCCUUCGGGUUGUAAAGUACUUUCAGCGAGGAGGCGUUACUCGCAGAAGAAGCACCGGCUAACUCCGUGCCAGCAGCCGCGGUAAUAC
rnacentral:rRNA from 1 species